GGUUUAACUGGUUUAACCAAUAGGAGAUGAUGAAUUGUGAUGUGUACACUCCUCUAACAUAGCACUGGAGCAGAGAAGAGCAUGGAAACGCCUUUGUGGAUUACGAAUUUAGUGUUAUGUGGGUGUCAUAUGGCAGCGAUUGAAGAGAGCAUUAUGUGUCUUUCUGACAGCUGGAACAAAAAUGCUGUAACUAAUUCAUGACUGGGGAUCCGUGGCAUAGCACACAGAUACAGAAAAUUCUAAUUCAAGAAUUGAUAAAAAGUCUGGGCGGGAACCGGGAAGAGAGCUAACACAGUCGAGUCACGUCACAUGUCAGAAAGUGUGAGGAGAGAUACUGCCGGUGCGAAAGGAUUUUCAAUACAUUCCUAAUUGACUGAGGAGGCAGGUGAAGUCUCAGUUCCAUGCAGACUCAUUUACUAUGGGAAUAAAUGGAUCUUUUCAACUAGAACCUGAAAAAAACGGUGAUGUCUCUGCAAGAGUCCGACUCAGACGCCAGCAAGGUGGAGGUGGAGUACUGGUUUGGGCUGGUAUCAUCAAAGAUGAGCUUGUGGGGCCUUUUCGGGUUGAGGAUGGAGUCAAGCUCAACUCCCAGUCCUACUGCCAGUUUCUGGAAGACACCUUCUUCAAGCAGUGGUACAGGAAGAAGUCUGCAUCCUUCAAGAAAAACAUGAUUUUCAUGCAGGACAAUGCUCCAUCACAUGCGUCCAAGUACUCCACA